rnacentral:lncRNA from 12 species
AUGCGCUGCGGUCCCCCGCGGGGGGCUGCCAGGCAGAGAAGUCCGCCAAGCAUCCCCAGAGAGGAAAGAUACCAGUGCCCAACAAAGUACACCCCGAAAGCACAGGGAGACGGGGGCGGGGAGCUUCAACCCGCACGUCCUCUCGCGGCCCCCCGCCUCCGCCCGCGCGCAGAUCCCGGCGCCAGCGCCGCGCCGCACCCCGCACACCCCUCGCCCGCAGGACCGGGAGCGGUGGGGGGCAUCCCGGCGGCGGCUGAGCCCCGGCGGCCGCGGGGCGGGGGCGGGGGCGGGGGAGGGGAGGCGGAGGGGAGGGGAGGGGGUACUCGCCUGCGGACGCGGCCGAGGGCGGCUCCCGGGGGCGCGGGGGCGCGCUCGGACGCGGCGCGGCUGCUGGGCGGGUGUCCCUCGCGCGGCCGCGCUGGUCGCUGGCGGCGCCUGGCCGGAGCCGGGGUGCGGGACGCUGCCCAGGGAAUGGGCGGGCACCAGUGGCCUCGCUCGCUGCUCCUGUGUAUUAUUGUGGACUCGAGCUAUUUCCUGUUUGGAGGUCUGGGAGAAAGGAAAAAAAAAAAAAAAAACCCAGGGUGGGGGCAGGGGGAGUGGGCGGCGGAGAGCCAGAGAGCCGCGGCCCGGAGGGGAGGAGGGCGGGCGGCGGCUGUCACCUGCUCCCUCGAGACCCCAAGGGCGCCAGGUUCUAGUCUGGGGCAAGACACGCAGCUUAUUGCAGCCCUGCUUUGGGGUGUUGGCAGCGACGGGGGGGGCUCGCAGGCGCCACCCAGCGGUGGGGCAAGGACUGUGGCCGCAGGGACCUCGGGGCCUCCAGCGGGGGCAUCCAACCCGCGGCCGCUUCCCUGCUCCGGGGACCCGCGGCUGAGCUUGCUUUGCGCGGGGGCCGAGGGGAUUCGCUGUGCUGCCGCCUUCCCGCCCGUCCUCGGCCCGGCUUCCCGGUCCUCUCGGCGCUGUGCGCUAGGAAGCACUUCGCCGCGCUACCCUUCCAAGACCCCGGAGGGAUGGUCGUGGGCCGUGACUGCAGGUGCUUGGCGCUGCUGGGAUCUCUGCUCUUGCUUGGGGGUGGGUGGGAUAAGAAGCGGGUUGGUGAUUUUGGUGGCGAGUUAA